AAAUGCUUUCCGCGUUCGGUGGUAAAGUUCCAGCAGCCGCGUAACCAGUUCCUCUGUUCUCCGGCAAAAGUUCGCUGGAUGCACCUGCUGGAUACUGCAACAACAGACGAUGACGUAACACGUGAGAGAUUGCCGUUUCAGCACGUCGAUGACAUCGAUGAAAAAUAUAAUUGAUCUGACAUCAGAGAGGAGGAUUCGACCCAAGGUCAAGAUUCAUUUAAAGGUUGUUCGUUCUGUCGGUGAUUGCUAAUUAUUCUGGGAAAUCCAUGGUGAAGAAAGUUACAGACUUUUAAGAACAAUUAACAUUGCUCCAGCCAAAUGGCCAAAAAUUUAAAAAGUCCAUCCGAAAAUGAUCAACAUAGUUCCACUACUAAUUAAGAAUCCGCGCCUGUCACCGUUGUAAUCGAAUGGUGAAGAAGGGCCACGGACAUGGGCACAGUGCGGUGUCCAUAAAUAUUUCUUUUUACGAGUGGAGGAAGGUCGGUAGACUAGAGAAGCUAUUACCAAUGUAGACUCUAGUCUGUCUAGGUGGUCGGUACCUAGGCUCGCCAUUCCGCUUCGCGCGGGUACAUACGCAGGGUCAACGGCCACUCGCGACCCUCAACCUAUUCGCUCGUUCAUAUCCCUCGAGCGUGUGCCGCAAUCACUAUACUCGACGCGCGGACUUCUUUGUCCCAUUGCACGGGAUCAUUUUUCAUUUUUUUUCCCCUCUUGCUAAUUCCAGGAGAUUCUCCUGGUUCCUGGAUUAAUACCACCACGGUGCCAUCAUGGUGGGUUUCUUGCGGGAUUAAAACCAACGGAAACGAAAAAGGAAAUCUUGGACAAACGGUACCUUGUACAUGAACGGAUUAAAAUAGAAAUGAAACGAACGAGUUUGUUUAAUAAUUCCACGCUUAAAGAUAUCCCGUUAUCCGUAACAUCUUAAUCGAUUUCUUGCACAGCAAUUUGUCUUGAUCUUGCGUCAGACUAAACAAGAACCGUUCUUGUUAAUACCGCUUCGUAUGGCUAUUUUUUCUAUCCUCUUGUAAUUCAUCAAUGUCCAUAAGGAAAUAUUAAAGCCCGUAUCGAAUGAUAAUUCAUGCAUCAUAAUUUAACCAAAUACUCGAAGGUAACUUGAAACUAAUAUGAAUUUUAAAUUACACAAAAUUUCUUUUAUCACUUUACUCUUGCAUUUGAGCAUCGGUGAUAAUGGGAAUUUCUUCGUGAAACACAUAUGGUACAUAAUCGGUCUAGGAUGUGUUAAAUAGCGUAAGGUGUAGCUAACAGGAAGAACGUAACAUUGCAAACAUAAUAAAUCAAGCUAAAAAUAAAAUAGUAUGUCCUAGCGGUACUUCUGACGAAUUUAGCAUACGCUCGAGGUGUUAAUUAUCCCGAUCCGUGGUAUUAAAAUACCUGAAGAGUUCAAGGCAGACGUUGCUAUUCGACCUUUUCGUUCAAGUACAUGUCCGUGAUCGCGGGGCAUCGGAUAAUCGGUAACGUGAACUUCCUAAAUCGUUGUUUACAAGCGUCGAGGAGGGAAAGGUAAGCAGCUUUAAGAUGAGGAAGGACGCGGAAGGAUCGGUGACCGCGGCAAACGAGAUAUUCCAAUUCGAUCUCGUCGGAAACCUUGACCGAGAGUAACGGUACAGAACGAUCAUUACGAGAUCGUAGAUAGAUGAGCCGACUUCGAACUUAAGCCUUCCUCUGUUCUGCAUAGAUCCUUAAAGAAUUCGAAAGUCGAAUGAAACGGUUCCUCCACUUCCAAAGAACGAUCCCCCGGUUCGAUGAUCCCGCGGUAACAGUAUCUCCAUAAACCAGCGAGUUUAAGGAGAACCCGAUGAAACGACGUGAUUGUAAAGUGGUACAGGGUUUAUCGUAAGGAUUACCAUGUGGGUCAUCGACGGCUUGCAUUUCA